AAUAUAGUGCAACUAGAAAUGUAUGUAGUUGAAAAAUAUAGUAGUUAUAAUUGUAUACAUACUUUUGACUGAAUGUAAUAUAAAGCGCUGUUACUGAAAAUCAUUUAUUUGCUUAUACGUGUCGGAUCGUUGGCCUAACCAUUAAUCCCAAAAGCUCGAGCUGCUAGAAAUACGCAACCAAUUCACUUAAAGCGUACAGAAACAGCGCUCACGGGUCUCGAUUGUGAUUCGGCCCACCUGGCCUCACGCCACUUCGAACAUGACUCGGCCCAACCCAGCCUCACGCCAUUUCGAACAUGACUCGGCCCACAUAGCCUUCCGCCACAGGGCAGGAUGCUGGCAUAUUUAAGCCAACAAUACGUAGUCAUGGAAAUGUAAGAUUAUC
rnacentral:lncRNA from 1 species